rnacentral:tRNA from 1 species
GUCCCGUGUGUCUGUUGGUAGAGCAUGGCACUUGCAAUGCCAGGGUUGUGGGUUCGAUUCCCACAGGGGACC